rnacentral:lncRNA from 1 species
AAAAUUUUAACCAAAAUUUUAAGUAUUUUAUAAAGAAGCAGAAAACAAAUGAUAGUUUUCUAAAUUGAAUGGCAUAUAUUAGAGUAAUAUUUAAAUAUCAUGCAUAAAAUAAAUAAGUUAACAAAUCUCAAACCUAAUAUAUAUAUAUAUAUAUAUAUAUAAGGAGGAUAAUACUAAAUACUUACAAAAAGAAAUUAAGAAAAAUUUUGAAUAAAUCUUAAAAGUAGAACUUUAAUAAAGGAAAUGACUUGCUAAUCCGAGGGUCUUUCGAUGCCAUUCUGAGUCCUAGUUCUCUGGCUACCUGAGAAGUAAGGAAAAUAGGGAAUGAGCUUGCAAUGUCUCAGUGUGAGAUUAAUCUUAAACCAUUACAUAUAAUCAAUCAAGCAAUAAAACAUAACAAUAACUGAUCAUCCCAAAUUUGAUUUCUGGUGACGAUGGUUGUUCAUUGGUCAUCUGUGACGGUGACUAUUACUACCACCCCAAUUUGGUCUGGUUUUGAUGGUGCUUUAAAACGGUCAUCCUAUCCUGUACAUAAACUAUACUCAUUGUAAGCAUCCCAUCGAAUCAGCUCUAAAACAACCAUCCUGUCAUGUACAUAAACUAUCAUCCCCGGUCGACCCGAUCUGGUGGCUUUUUAGCUUACCAUCUCGGCUUAUCCAUUUUGGAUGACAUUGUCGCUUAUUUCACGCAGUACUGACUUUUAGUGUCGACUUAAAUUGCCACUUUCUCCUAUGGAACUUCUCCAUCCUCCAUUCUCGAUUUCGUGUAAUUAUGCACAUUAACUUAGCAUAUUUAUGCUAUUUAUCAUCAAUUGAUGCAACAUUCAAUAUCUUAUGCUUUAGCAUUUAAAGGCAUGUGUUCAUGUAUUCAUUGAUCUCACAUGUAUACACAUAUAUUUUGUGUGCGUAAGAAAAAUAAUAUCAUAUGUAUAGUGAUUCGCAAAUAUCAUAUGUAGGGUUUGCAUAUAACAUGUAUAUAGAAUUCACAUGUAACAUAUAUAGAGUUUGCAUAUUUAAUCUAGGGUUCGCAUGUUUAACCUAGAGUUCGCAUAAAACAAAUUAGUUUCUUCUAAUUCAAUAAUUAAUUAUACAUAAUGACUUAAGUUUAGACCUUACACUUAAUUGGAAGACUUAAAAAACUUACCUUUGGUGAGAUUGAUGAUCUUCUUGAGAAAGGAUGGAUGAUUUUGAAGAUUUUGAAUUCCUUGAUUGAAAACCGAUUUAAUAAUGGAAGAGAAAAAGAAAGAACUCAAGAA